GAACGCUGGCGGCGUGCCUAAUACAUGCUUUUCGAGCGAACGGACGAGAAGCUUGCUUCUCUGAUGUUAGCGGCGGACGGGUGAGUAACACGUGGAUAACCUACCUAUAAGACUGGGAUAACUUCGGGAAACCGGAGCUAAUACCGGAUAAUAUUUUGAACCGCAUGGUUCAAAAGUGAAAGACGGUCUUGCUGUCACUUAUAGAUGGAUCCGCGCUGCAUUAGCUAGUUGGUAAGGUAACGGCUUACCAAGGCAACGAUGCAUAGCCGACCUGAGAGGGUGAUCGGCCACACUGGAACUGAGACACGGUCCAGACUCCUACGGGAGGCAGCAGUAGGGAAUCUUCCGCAAUGGGCGAAAGCCUGACGGAGCAACGCCGCGUGAGUGAUGAAGGUCUUCGGAUCGUAAAACUCUGUUAUUAGGGAAGAACAUAUGUGUAAGUAACUGUGCACAUCUUGACGGUACCUAAUCAGAAAGCCACGGCUAACUACGUGCCAGCAGCCGCGGUAAUACGUAGGUGGCAAGCGUUAUCCGGAAUUAUUGGGCGUAAAGCGCGCGUAGGCGGUUUUUUAAGUCUGAUGUGAAAGCCCACGGCUCAACCGUGGAGGGUCAUUGGAAACUGGAAAACUUGAGUGCAGAAGAGGAAAGUGGAAUUCCAUGUGUAGCGGUGAAAUGCGCAGAGAUAUGGAGGAACACCAGUGGCGAAGGCGACUUUCUGGUCUGUAACUGACGCUGAUGUGCGAAAGCGUGGGGAUCAAACAGGAUUAGAUACCCUGGUAGUCCACGCCGUAAACGAUGAGUGCUAAGUGUUAGGGGGUUUCCGCCCCUUAGUGCUGCAGCUAACGCAUUAAGCACUCCGCCUGGGGAGUACGACCGCAAGGUUGAAACUCAAAGGAAUUGACGGGGACCCGCACAAGCGGUGGAGCAUGUGGUUUAAUUCGAAGCAACGCGAAGAACCUUACCAAAUCUUGACAUCCUUUGACAACUCUAGAGAUAGAGCCUUCCCCUUCGGGGGACAAAGUGACAGGUGGUGCAUGGUUGUCGUCAGCUCGUGUCGUGAGAUGUUGGGUUAAGUCCCGCAACGAGCGCAACCCUUAAGCUUAGUUGCCAUCAUUAAGUUGGGCACUCUAAGUUGACUGCCGGUGACAAACCGGAGGAAGGUGGGGAUGACGUCAAAUCAUCAUGCCCCUUAUGAUUUGGGCUACACACGUGCUACAAUGGACAAUACAAAGGGCAGCGAAACCGCGAGGUCAAGCAAAUCCCAUAAAGUUGUUCUCAGUUCGGAUUGUAGUCUGCAACUCGACUACAUGAAGCUGGAAUCGCUAGUAAUCGUAGAUCAGCAUGCUACGGUGAAUACGUUCCCGGGUCU
rnacentral:rRNA from 1 species